GAACGAAGAGAAAAGUUGCUGUGUCCGACUCAGGGAAGUUCCCAACUAUCAGUACCAGUGUGUGAAACAGUGGGGAGAUGAGCACAGCCGUAGAGAUGGAGCACAUUCAGCCUGAAGAGUGACAAACAUGGAAACAGGAAGUGUAAUUAUUCGCCCCACACCCCAGUGCUUCAUGCUGACUGAACAAUGUCUGCCACAGCUCAAUGGAGAAUUUCUGCACAAGGUGAAAAAUGUGUUGAGGCCACAUGAGGUGACAGAAAGGCUACUGCAGCUGUACAGGCACAGACUGCGGGGACGACAGUUGCCCACAAACAGCAGCCACCUCUCUGUCAGGGUGGAGUCUUCAAUCCUCAGACUUUUCCCUUGAGAAAAAGAAAAACAGAUUUUAUUUUCAGUAUAUCAACUUCAAGACUUUGGCUCUGACCUACAGUGUGUGCACAGCUAUGAAAGCAUGUGAUGGUGCAGGUCUGGGUUAUCUUACAGCGUGUUUGUCCAGGGUGUGGUACAGUACGCCACUGCAAUGGAAGUAAUCAGCUUACAUUAUAAGAACACACUAUGUGCUGCUACCUGGAAAACUUCUGGUCAUCCCACUUUCCUAGGUCAUUGUGGUGGCACACUCACUGAGCUUUAAAAGAUAAUGUUUCCACAACAGUCAUACACUCCAAACAGCAAAAGCUGCGAAGCACUAACUGUAGCUGAAACAUUUCCAGCCAACCUUUUUCAAGUGAUAACCUUCUACGGGGGAGUGGGCAGACUCACACAGUGUGUGAUCCAUAGCCAGGGUGUGCAGGCGGCUGCACACCUGCAGCACUCUGCACAAAUCACGAUGAGGCAGAAGAGACAGGAUGCACAACCACACCUCAUCAGGCAGACGCAGCCAGCGGUCACAUACAGGGACACCUGCUGGCUAAUAGGUGUAAUGACAACACAUUGGUAUAGAAAUACAAUAAAAUUCACAAGAAUGAAAUACGUGCUAAAAAAGAAGAAUUAUUUUAACACAAUAUCUUCUUUCUAUUUGAAAGCACACAAAAGUACUUUUACGUCAGACAUUUAAAAAGGUUUUCACAUGAAAUUAGAGGCACAACCAUGUUGGGAUAAACAAAGUGAUGAUGUACAGA